rnacentral:rRNA from 1 species
UAAAACGUAGGAGGCAAGCGUUAUCCGGAUUUAUUGGGCGUAAAGCGCGUGCAGGCUGUCUAGCAAGUUGGAUGUGAAAGCUCCCGGCUUAACUGGGAGAGGUCAUUCAAUACUGUUAGACUAGAGAAUGGGAGAGGGAGGUGGAAUUCCGGGUGUAGUGGUGAAAUGCGUAGAUAUCCGGAGGAACACCAGUGGCGAAAGCGGCCUCCUAGACCAUUUCUGACGCUAAGACGCGAAAGCUAGGGUAGCAAACGGGAUUAGAGACCCCGGUAGUCCUAGCUGUAAACGAUGUAGACUUGGCGUUGGCGGAGUUAAAUCUGUCAGUGCCGUAGCUAACGCGAUAAGUCUACCGCCUGGGGACUACGAUCGCAAGAUUA